rnacentral:ncRNA from 1 species
UGCUGAAUUAGAGAUUGGCACCCUUUCAUUCUUUUAAAUCUGGAGUUCUAUAAUGUCUCUAAGCGUUGAAGCUAAAGCACAAAUCGUUUCUGAGUUUGGUCGUGGU